rnacentral:rRNA from 1 species
UACGUAGGGUCCGAGCGUUUGUCCGGAGUUACUGGGCGUAAAGCGCGCGUAGGCGGCUUUGCAAGUCGGGUGUGAAAUCCCCAGGCUUAACCUGGGAACUGCAUUCGAGACUGCAUUGCUAGAGUAUGGGAGAGGGAAGUGGAAUUUCCGGUGUAGCGGUGAAAUGCGUAGAUAUCGGAAGGAACAUCAGUGGCGAAAGCGACUUCCUGGACCAAUACUGACGCUCAUGUGCGAAAGCGUGGGGGAGCAAACAGG